CAUGCAAGUCGAACGAAAAUACCAAGCUUGCUUGGUUGAUUAGUGGCGAACGGGUGUGUAACACGUGAGUAACCUGCCCCUUACUUUCCUGGAUAACUGCUCGAAAGGGUAGCUAAUACGGGAUAUUCUGACCAUCCUGCAUGGGUUGGUUUGGAAAGGUUGUUUUUUCUGGUAAGGGAUGGGCUCGCGGCCUAUCAGCUUGUUGGUGGGGUGAUGGCCUACCAAGGCUUUGACGGGUAGCCGGCCUGAGAGGGUGGACGGUCACACUGGGACUGAGAUACGGCCCAGACUCCUACGGGAGGCAGCAGUGGGGAAUAUUGCACAAUGGGCGCAAGCCUGAUGCAGCGACGCCGCGUGAGGGAUGAAGGCCUUCGGGUUGUAAACCUCUUUCGUCAGGGAACAAGGCACUGCUUUGGUGGUGUUGAGGGUACCUGGAUAAGAAGCGCCGGCUAACUACGUGCCAGCAGCCGCGGUAAUACGUAGGGCGCAAGCGUUGUCCGGAAUUAUUGGGCGUAAAGAGCUCGUAGGCGGCUGGUCGCGUCUGUCGUGAAAACUUCCGGCUCAACCGGGGGCUUGCGGUGGGUACGGGCCGGCUAGAGUGCGGUAGGGGUAACUGGAACUCCUGGUGUAGCGGUGGAUGCGCAGAUAUCAGGAAGAACACCGAUGGCGAAGGCAGGUUACUGGGCCGUUACUGACGCUGAGGAGCGAAAGCGUGGGGAGCGAACAGGAUUAGAUACCCUGGUAGUCCACGCUGUAAACGUUGGGCACUAGGUGUGAGGCUCCUUU
rnacentral:rRNA from 1 species